rnacentral:rRNA from 1 species
CCUACGGGAGGCAGCAGUAGGGAAUAUUGGGCAAUGGGCGAGAGCCUGACCCAGCCAUGCCGCGUGCCGGAUGAAGGCCUUCUGGGUUGUAAACGGCUUUUCUCAGGGAAGAAAAAGCCCAUGCGUGGGACACUGACGGUACCUGAGGAAUAAGCACCGGCUAACUCCGUGCCAGCAGCCGCGGUAAUACGGAGGGUGCAAGCGUUGUCCGGAUUUAUUGGGUUUAAAGGGUGCGUAGGCGGCCCGUUAAGUCCGGGGUGAAAGCCCACAGCUCAACUGUGGAACUGCCCUGGAUACUGGCGGGCUUGAGUCCAGACGAGGUUGGCGGAAUGGAUGGUGUAGCGGUGAAAUGCAUAGAUACCAUCCAGAACCCCGAUUGCGUAGGCAGCUGACUAGGCUGGUACUGACGCUGAGGCACGAAAGCGUGGGGAGCGAACAGGAUUAGAUACCCUGGUAGUCCACGCCGUAAACGAUGGAUACUCGCUGGUGGCGAUAGACAGUCACUGGCUUAGCGAAAGCGGUAAGUAUCCCACCUGGGGAGUACGGCUCGCAAGAGUUGAAACUCAAAGUUAGAGUUGACGGCGNGAGACGNGCCGAGGACGACGACGAGGGAGGAGG